rnacentral:rRNA from 1 species
UACGAAGGGGGCUAGCGUUGCUCGGAAUCACUGGGCGUAAAGGGUGCGUAGGCGGGUCUUUAAGUCAGGGGUGAAAUCCUGGAGCUCAACUCCAGAACUGCCUUUGAUACUGAAGAUCUUGAGUUCGGGAGAGGUGAGUGGAACUGCGAGUGUAGAGGUGAAAUUCGUAGAUAUUCGCAAGAGCACCAGUGGCGAAGGCGGCUCACUGGCCCGAUACUGACGCUGAUGCACGAAAGCGUGGGGAGCAAACAGG